UACGAAGGGGGCUAGCGUUGCUCGGAAUCACUGGGCGUAAAGGGUGCGUAGGCGGGUUUUUAAGUCAGGGGUGAAAUCCUGGAGCUCAACUCCAGAACUGCCUUUGAUACUGAAGAUCUUGAGUCCGGGAGAGGUGAGUGGAACUGCGAGUGUAGAGGUGAAAUUCGUAGAUAUUCGCAAGAACACCAGUGGCGAAGGCGGCUCACUGGCCCGGUACUGACGCUGAGGCACGAAAGCGAUGGGGAGCAAACAGG
rnacentral:rRNA from 1 species